UACGUAGGGUGCAAGCGUUGUCCGGAUUUAUUGGGUUUAAAGGGUGCGUAGGCGGCCCUGUAAGUCAGUGGUGAAAUACUCCAGCUUAACUGGAGGGGUGCCAUUGAUACUGCAGGGCUUGAGUUAAGUUGAAGUUGGCGGAAUUGACGGUGUAGCGGUGAAAUGCUUAGAUAUCGUAAGGAAGACCAGUGGCGAAGGCGGGUCUCUGGACAGUUCCUGACGCUGAGACACGAAAGCCAGGGGAGCGAACGGG
rnacentral:rRNA from 1 species